GGACGGACAUCGGGAGACGCCGGCCUUGCGCCGGGGCCGAAGGAGCAGCCGCCCUGGCAAACUCUCAGGCAAAAGGACCGGGUCCGCAUA
rnacentral:ncRNA from 2 species